rnacentral:rRNA from 1 species
GACGAACGCUGGCGGCGUGCCUAAUACAUGCAAGUAGAACGCUGAAGGAGGAGCUUGCUUCUCUGGAUGAGUUGCGAACGGGUGAGUAACGCGUAGGUAACCUGCCUGGUAGCGGGGGAUAACUAUUGGAAACGAUAGCUAAUACCGCAUAAGAGUAGAUGUUGCAUGACAUUUGCUUAAAAGGUGCAAAUGCAUCACUACCAGAUGGACCUGCGUUGUAUUAGCUAGUUGGUGGGGUAACGGCUCACCAAGGCGACGAUACAUAGCCGACCUGAGAGGGUGAUCGGCCACACUGGGACUGAGACACGGCCCAGACUCCUACGGGAGGCAGCAGUAGGGAAUCUUCGGCAAUGGACGGAAGUCUGACCGAGCAACGCCGCGUGGGUGAAGAAGGUUUUCGGAUCGUAAAGCUCUGUUGUAAGAGAAGAACGAGUGUGAGAGUGGAAAGUUCACACUGUGACGGUAUCUUACCAGAAAGGGACGGCUAACUACGUGCCAGCAGCCGCGGUAAUACGUAGGUCCCGAGCGUUGUCCGGAUUUAUUGGGCGUAAAGCGAGCGCAGGCGGUUAGAUAAGUCUGAAGUUAAAGGCUGUGGCUUAACCAUAGUAGGCUUUGGAAACUGUUUAACUUGAGUGCAAGAGGGGAGAGUGGAAUUCCAUGUGUAGCGGUGAAAUGCGUAGAUAUAUGGAGGAACACCGGUGGCGAAAGCGGCUCUCUGGCUUGUAACUGACGCUGAGGCUCGAAAGCGUGGGGAGCAAACAGG